rnacentral:rRNA from 1 species
AACGAACGCUGGCGGCAUGCCUAACACAUGCAAGUCGAACGAGCACUUUCGGGUGCUAGUGGCGCACGGGUGCGUAACGCGUGGGAAUCUGCCCUGGGGUACGGAACAACUCAGAGAAAUUUGAGCUAAUACCGUAUGAUGACGUAAGUCCAAAGAUUUAUCGCCCUGGGAUGAGCCCGCGUUGGAUUAGCUAGUUGGUGGGGUAAGAGCCUACCAAGGCGACGAUCCAUAGCUGGUCUGAGAGGAUGAUCAGCCACACUGGGACUGAGACAUGGCCCAGACUCCUACGGGAGGCAGCAGUGGGGAAUAUUGGACAAUGGGCGCAAGCCUGAUCCAGCAAUGCCGCGUGAGUGAUGAAGGCCUUAGGGUUGUAAAAUUCUUUCACCGGGGACGAUAAUGACGGUACCCGGAGAAGAAGCCCCGGCUAACUUCGUGCCAGCAGCCGCGGUAA